UGCCAGCAGCCGCGGUAAUACGAAGGUGGCAAGCGUUGUUCGGAUUCACUGGGCGUACAGGGAGCGUAGGCGGUUGGGUAAGCCCUCCGUGAAAUCUCCGGGCCUAACCCGGAAAGUGCAGAGGGGACUGCUUGGCUAGAGGAUGGGAGAGGAGCGCGGAAUUCCCGGUGUAGCGGUGAAAUGCGUAGAGAUCGGGAGGAAGGCCGGUGGCGAAGGCGGCGCUCUGGAACAUUUCUGACGCUGAGGCUCGAAAGCGUGGGGAGCAAACAGGAUUAGAUA
rnacentral:rRNA from 1 species